UGGUAUAACCAUUACCGUGUACUUCAUUUACAGCAUCUGCUUGAAGUUUACACCACAGAGUGUUAAAUGUAGUUAUAAUAGCAUCUGUUUCUGUACGUCCUUGAGUUGCUAGAAGGUAAUUACGUAACGCUACAAAGUAAUAUCAAUUAUCACAAUGUGCUUCCAAGUACAAGAAAAAGAUCGAAAUAAAAUUUUGUAUAGUAUAAUUACAUACCUGAACUUACGAAUAAGUAUAUUAAACGUAAGUUUAAGCUCUUAAGUCUAAUUGACGAUUA
rnacentral:misc_RNA from 1 species